AGUACUUUGCGCCCUUCGCUUGUUCGCCACCGGCAGUUACCACGACGCGAUCGCGAACAACGAGGACGUGGCGACGAGCUAGUCCAGUGUGGGUCUCACGAUUCAUGCUGUCAUGGAAGCGAUCGUCGAGCGCCUCGGCAAUGAGUGGAUCGCCCUCCCUGCCAAAAGGAAGGCUUUGUCCACAUAGAUGCAAGAUUUGAAGGCUGCGUUGAGGUGGUCGACGACACGUAUGUGACCAACCCUGCCGGUGACUGCCCUCGCACUCGGGGCCCGUGCACGACGCCUUUAUGUGGAAGACAUCCACCGUGAGCCAGGACUGGGCAGUGGACGCCGUGGCCAGGUGAUAGUGCAUACUCGCUUCAACCUUGGCUGCUUAACCCCAUCCCUGGAGCACAUCCUGCAGAAUCCUCUGCUGCCCGAUUCCACC